UUUUUUUUUUUUUUUUUUUUUUUUUUUUUUUUUUCUUCUUUUCUUCUUUUUUAUCUUUUUUUUGUCCCUCUGUCGCCCAUCCCAGCGGCGGGGGGGGUGGGGGUGUGUAUUUCGUACUUUCCCGCUCAGCACCCCGCCAGUGACGACCUCCCGUGCCACAUGCGAGCAUCAACUGGACACCUGCUCUGCUAACGAAGGACUCCUUUGUAAUACCUGGAAAGUGGCAAGAUAGUUCAACGCACUCUUCCUAACUUGCUCCUGCCCCUUCAGCAGGCAGGGUCUGACCAGGCAUUGCUGGCAUUCCUUGCAUUCCCAAAACAUCAUCACAAGACAGAAACUGGAGUGGGCGGGGGCUGUCAUCUUGUCUUCCCUUCUAGCUCAGGUUAAAUGUGCUUAUUAAUUUAACCAUUGGUCCGCAGCAGUCUCCCAAGCGCUCAUUUGCAUUAAUGAUCAGUAUAAUUCAAAGAAGGAUGUAGCACUGGUUUUCAACAAUAAAAAUCCUAUGCUUGU